AACAUAAACUAAAAAACCAACUUUGAUUGCUUCUGUAUUUUUUUAGGGGAGAGUUUACGUUCAUCAUGGGCUGUGACAGUGAACUCGUGUGGUGAUGAUGGAAAAUAUCAAAAGAUGGAUGGUUACUAAUUGCUUCAGAAGAGAUAUGAAGGCCAACAAAGAUAAUGUAAUUCAGUUUUUAAUUAAUUUAAUUUGUUUUAAAACUGCCAUAUAUAAAUUGCUAUUAACAUUCUUCCUUUUUUUUGUUUUUGCUGAAGUUCUACAGUCAUAUAUAACUGAUCUCUACAGUGAGAAUAAAGUAAUUAACAUUGAUGAAAUUCAUUUCUACCUAUUCUAGAGGUAUUGAUAAAAGCAAGUGACGUUUUGGCCACUUUUGUACAAAUCUGGGUUUUGCAGAAUUUUGGUGAACCACCGUCUGUGAAUUACAGAUACAGAAUAUGGGAUGGAAUCCUGAUUAGAGCAGCAAAUAUUCCUGUCAUAUAAUAUUAAAAAACUAUUCUAGUUCUCUUUCUGACUCAGAAUAUUGCUACUAAUAGUCAUAAUUAUAGAUGUGGAUUGAGGUAAAUUUGGUUAGGUGAGAAAGUGUAGAAGAGAAUAAUAUUAGCAGGGGCCUAAGAGAAGAUUGCAAUGUUCAAAGAUGAGACUACUAGGAUCCCCUAGGAUCCCUGUACCUCAGCCCAUCAAUUGGCAGAGAGAAAAUCAUUGCUAUUAGGAUGUGUUACAUACAUAAUUUUUGUCUUCUGAACACUGUGGCCUUAAUUCAGUAAAUUUCUUUAAGUUCCAUUAAUUAUAUGUAGCAUUAGUCAGUAUUUGAUGGUGAACUUGGCAUAGAGCUAAAUAUGGGAGUUUAAAGAAGGGGUUUUGCAUUUUCAUUAUUUUAAGUGAAUAUUUGGCUGUCCUGGACGUUCUUGCAUUUAUCUAAAAUAUGCAGAUGUAAAUGUUUUAGGUAUCAGUUUUAGGUUCCAGUAAUAUUAGGGACAAAAAUUAGUUUUAUGUCUUACAAAUAUUCUUUAAAACAAACAAACUCAAAAUCUUACAGAUUCUCUUCAAAGGGUCAUUUGUAACAUAUUUAUUUUUGUCUACUAUUUUAGAACCUAAAGGGAGUUAAAGGCUUUAUGAAAAAUAAGACAGAGUGAAACCUUGAUUAUCUCAACAACCCUAGCUAUACUAUUGUUUGGAAAUAUUACUGGAGGAUAAAGCUGAUGUAAUAACUAUCAGGUAUCUAUAAAAGGAAACCCUACACCUGUUUAAAAAUCAGAAUGCCGGUAAAAUGUCUCUAAGUGCAUAAACUAUUUCAUUUUUCAGUCGACAAAACAGAGGUAAUAUUUGCCACCCACAUAUCUCCGAGGAAUGACAUGAGGAAAGUGCUUUGUACUUUUCUCAUAUUUAGCCUUCAUUCUAAUCAUCUUAUUAACCUGCUUCUUAGUCAUUACAAAGACAUCCCUGACGAAACGACAUACCAUUUAAUAACAUGUUCCUUUAGCUGUCAUUCUGCAUCUCUUUGCUCCCAGAAAGAAUUUAUGCCCAGGCCAGGUGCUUGGCAUUUGGUUUAAAUGGACUUUUAUUUAGUUUUCCGCUACCAAGCAUUAGAGUCAUUUUAGCUAUUUUAUUCGCAUAUACCCUGGGUCAGGGAACUCCAUCAAUGAAACAGUUUUUCUUUAAGAACUUAUAAUCACUCAUGAAGUCAUUUCUAAAAUGCAUAUAUUCAGGAUCUUUACUUUGAGCUAACAGAAAAACAUCAGUCAGUAACCAUAGCUAUACUAUACAAAUUAUAUAUACUAAAUUUACCAUUCAUGUGCUACCUAAGCAGAAAUUUAGGUAAAAUGAAGAACACUGAUUUUUUUUACCCUACUAUAUUUUCCUAAUGAUUAAUGUGCAUUGUACAUUAAUUUUAAUUUUGGACUACAUAGAAAAACAGUUUAG
ensembl:lncRNA